rnacentral:misc_RNA from 1 species
GAAAUGCGAUGAGUAAUGUGAAUUGCAGAAUUCAGUGAAUCAUCGAAUCUUUGAACGCACAUUGCGCUCGCCAGUAUUCUGGCGAGCAUGCCUGUUCGAGCGUCAUUUCAACCAUCAAGCUCUGCUUGCGUUGGGGAUCCGCGGCUGCCCGCGGUCCCUCAAAAACAGUGGCGGGCUCGCUAGUCACACCGAGCGUAGUAACUCUACAUCGCUAUGGUCGUGCGGCGGGUUCUUGCCGUAAAACCCCCAAUUUCUAAGGUUGACCUCGGAUCAGGUAGGAAUACCCGCUGAACUUAAGC